AAGCGUCGUUCGGACCGCC
rnacentral:snRNA from 1 species